GAUGAACGCUAGCGGCAGGCUUAAUACAUGCAAGUCGAGGGGCAGCAGGACUGUAGCAAUAUAGAUGCGUGCGACCGGCAAACGGGUGCGGAACACGUACACAACCUUCCUUCGAGCCGGGAAUAGACCGGGGAAACCCGGAUUAAUACCCCAUAUUAUGGUGAAGAGGCAUCUCUUUACUGUUAAAGAUAUAUCACUUGAAUAUGGGUGUGCGGCUGAUUAGCUUGUUGGCGGGGUAACGGCCCACCAAGGCGACGAUCAGUAAGGGUUGUGAGAGGACGACCAGGCACACGGGAACUGAGACACGGGCCGAACUCCUACGGGAGGCAGCAGUAAGGAAUAUUGGUCAAUGGACGAAAGUCUGAACCAGCCAUGCCGCGUGGAGGAUGAAGGUCCUCUGGAUUGUAAACUUCUUUUAUCUGGGACGAAAAAAGGGAAUUCUUUUCCGACUGACGGUACCAGAUGAAUAAGCACCGGCUAAUUCCGUGCCAGCAGCCGCCGUAAAAC
rnacentral:rRNA from 1 species